rnacentral:rRNA from 1 species
GAUGAACGCUGGCGGCGUGCCUAAUACAUGCAAGUCGAGCGAACAGACGCGGAGCUUGCUCCUCUGACGUUAGCGGCGGACGGGUGAGUAACACGUGGAUAACCUCCCUAUCAGACUGGGAUAACUUCGGGAAACCGGAGCUAAUACCGGAUAAUAUAUUGAACCGCAUGGUUCAAUAGUGAAAGACGGUUUUGCUGUCACUUCUAGCUGGAUCCGCGCCGCAUUAGCUAGUUGGUAAGGUAACGGCUUACCACGGCAACGAUGCGUAGCCGACCUGAGAGGGUGAUCGGCCACACUGGAACUGAGACACGGUCCAGACUCCUACGGGAGGCAGCAGUAGGGAAUCGUCCGCAAUGGGCGAAAGCCUGACGGAGCGACGCCGCGUGAGUGAUGAAGGUCUGCGGAUCGUAAAACUCUGUUAUUAGGGAAGAACAAAUGUGUAAGUAACUAUGCACGUCUUGACGGUACCUAAACAGAAAGCCACGGCUAACUACGU